UUAGCCUUUGUUCCCCAGUUUCAGCUUUUCCAAUUGUGUACUUACACAUAUAGCUGUAAUAUCAUUAAUUCUUUCUGCAAUCCAAUGGUUCUUGAGAUUGUUACUGUAGUGGGGAUGAAACACAACUUAUUAUUUUAGUGAUGGACAAGGAAAUUUGAGGUGAAAUAUAUUUAUAUUUGUGGUUUUGUGGCAAUCAACUAAAGAACCUGUAUAUGGAUAUGGUAAAAUCCGAAUAAGCCACUAUUAACUUAAAUACUAUCAAGGUGAGUGGUCUUUCUGAAUCAGGGCAUAUCAUUGCUUCAUUGGAAUUAAAAUAGUCUUGAGUUUAUAAACCCGAGCCGCUUCCUGCGUAUACAU